rnacentral:sRNA from 1 species
GUUGCGGUCCUCACCGGCUUCUCUCUGGCCCCCGUGUGUCGAGUCCAGGUGGCCCGAGGCACCACAACCCGGAGGAGCAGGUUGAAAAGAUCCGAUGGCAGCACCACUUCGACCAGCUUCAUCCUCAGACAGGGUUCAGCGGAUUCCUACACAAGCAGGCCGUCUGACUCCGAUGUCUCUUUGGAAGAGGACCGGGAAGCAAUUCGACAGGAGAGAGAACAGCAAGCAGCUAUCCAGCUUGAGAGAGCAAAGUCCAAACCUGUAGCAUUUGCCGUGAAGACAAAUGUGAGCUACUGCGGCGCCCUGGAUGAGGAUGUGCCUGUUCCAAGCACAGCUAUCUCCUUUGAUGCUAAAGACUUUCUACAUAUUAAAGAGAAAUAUAACAAUGAUUGGUGGAUAGGAAGGCUGGUGAAAGAGGGCUGUGAAAUUGGCUUCAUUCCAAGUCCACUCAGAUUGGAGAACAUACGGAUUCAGCAAGAACAAAAAAGAGGACGUUUUCACGGAGGGAAAUCAAGUGGAAAUUCUUCUUCAAGUCUUGGAGAAAUGGUAUCUGGGACAUUUCGAGCAACUCCCACGUCAACAGCAAAACAGAAGCAAAAAGUGACGGAGCACAUUCCUCCUUACGAUGUUGUGCCGUCAAUGCGUCCGGUGGUGUUAGUGGGGCCGUCACUGAAAGGUUACGAGGUAACAGACAUGAUGCAGAAAGCCCUCUUUGAUUUCCUGAAGCACAGGUUUGAUGGGAGGAUAUCAAUAACGAGAGUGACAGCUGACAUUUCUCUUGCUAAGAGGUCUGUCCUAAAUAAUCCCAGCAAGAGAGCAAUAAUUGAACGUUCGAACACCCGGUCCAGCUUAGCGGAAGUACAAAGUGAAAUUGAAAGAAUCUUUGAGUUGGCAAGAUCUUUGCAACUGGUCGUUCUUGAUGCAGACACCAUCAAUCACCCAGCACAACUUAUAAAGACUUCCUUAGCACCAAUUAUUGUUCAUGUAAAAGUCUCAUCUCCAAAGGUUUUACAGCGGUUGAUUAAAUCUAGAGGAAAGUCACAAAGUAAACACUUGAAUGUUCAACUGGUGGCAGCUGAUAAACUUGCACAAUGCCCCCCAGAAAUGUUUGAUGUUAUAUUGGAUGAAAAUCAGCUUGAGGAUGCGUGUGAACAUCUAGGGGAGUACCUGGAGGCGUACUGGCGUGCCACCCACACAACCAGUAGCACACCCAUGACCCCGCUGCUGGGAAGGAAUUUGGGCUCCACGGCACUCUCACCAUAUCCCACAGCAAUUUCUGGGUUACAGAGUCAGCGAAUGAGGCACAGCAACCACUCCACAGAGAACUCUCCAAUUGAAAGACGAAGUCUAAUGACCUCUGAUGAAAAUUAUCACAAUGAAAGGGCUCGGAAGAGUAGGAACCGCUUGUCUUCCAGUUCUCAGCAUAGCCGAGAUCAUUACCCUCUUGUGGAAGAAGAUUACCCUGACUCAUACCAGGACACUUACAAACCCCAUAGGAACCGAGGAUCACCUGGGGGAUAUAGCCAUGACUCCCGACAUAGGCUUUGAGUCUAAUGAAACAAAAAAUAUUCAUCUGUUGACAAUUUGCCAUAGCAGUGCUAGGAUAAACCAAUCAUCUUAACUUGGCUAACAUAGCACAGUAUUUACUGUGCUAAUGGGCUGCUGUCAUUUUAUGCUAAGUAAGGGGCAAAAAAAAAAUUACAUUAUGCCCUUGAGUCUAGAUGGAUAUUAGAUGCCCGAUCAUAUAGAUAUUUUUAAGUGCAACAUUUACAUGAUAACAGUACAUUUUGUUUUCUUCAUAGAUUUAGACACAUCAAUUUGUAAUUUAGGGUACUUACAAGGCACAUAUAAAAUAAUUUCCCAUGCCGGAAAUUCCAAAUGACCAGUUCCAGUUGGAACCAAUUUAUAAACCAAUUCCUGUUGGAAUUUGGGUGAAUUGACUAGAAAGUCUACUUGAGCAUGUUGUAAUCAACUGAAAAAUCUGGGGGAAAAAAAAAAAAACUAAUAAGAAAAUCGAAAUACCAAUAGAAGCC